rnacentral:rRNA from 1 species
UACGAAGGGGGCUAGCGUUGCUCGGAAUCACUGGGCGUAAAGGGUGCGUAGGCGGGGCUUUAAGUCAGGGGGGAAAUCCUGGAGCUCAACUCCAGAACUGCCUUUGAUACUGAAGAUCUUGAGUUCGGGAGAGGUGAGUGGAACUGCGAGUGUAGAGGUGAAAUUCGUAGAUAUUCGCAAGAACACCAGUGGCGAAGGCGGCUCACUGGCCCGAUACUGACGCUGAGGCACGAAAGCGUGGGGAGCGAACAGG